rnacentral:snoRNA from 1 species
GGUCUGUGAUGGGUGCUGGCAUGUAUUACCUGAGCACAGAUCUGAAGACCAUCAGUUUGGCUCCAGAAUUACUCUGAGACCUG